rnacentral:miRNA from 1 species
CUAUACAGUCUAGUGCCUUUCU